GGAGCGUUGGUGUUCUUUGGUUGUUGGUCUAAGGCGAUCAGAAGUAUUCUGAGAACCUCAGAUCAACCAUCGAGGAACAUCAACCGUGUCAUUUCCGGUCAACUACGAUCGGGGGUGUCACAAACAUUAUCAGCCCAAAUAAAUGUAAGACAAAGCCCAGUUGAAAACCAUAAAAAUCCAAAUAUAACAAACGUAAAUAACACAAAACGCAAGUCCAGUUGGUGGAUUCAGAUUCUGUAGCGAACAAAGCCCAUCAGAUUUUAAUAAAAUGAAGUGAUGCGUUUUAGUUAAGCGGUACACGUGUCAUGACCAGAAGACUUGAAUUUCUGACCUGUCUGCUGAGGUGGACAGCCUAAGAGUGAAACAAAGUGUACUUUAUAUAAUUAGAUAUAUAUGAAUCUUACUCCCAAUGUUUUCUAAAACAUAUAAGUUGGCGUUCUAUGACACACUGCUUAUUUGUUCUAAAAAAUUGAAUUCAAAAUUUUUUUUGUUUAUUAUUAUUAUUAUUAUUUUUUUAUUUUGUUUUGUCCCUUCCAAAAAAUGAUGAAAAUGUUGAAAAUUAAACUUUUUUUUUAAUAAAGAUGCUGAUGACGACAACGACAUUGAUGAUGAUAUGUGGAAAUGAUCAAUAUAUAAUCUGAAAGAAAAUAAAAACUGUUAAGGAUAUAUUGAUUUCUAUGUGGACUAAAAAUAAAUUAACAUAGAAAAAAAUUAACCCCUUUGACUAAAAAUAAAGAAUACAACUGUCAAUUACAUUCAACAUAUGUUAUUUAUAGUCAACAACUGUUAAUUACAUUCAACAUUUGUUAGUUACAUUCAACAACAGUUAUCUCUUAUUAGUUUGAAUGGUUAGUUGUAUAAACAUUAACCCAUUUGACUAAAAAUAAAGAAUACAACUGUCAAUUACAUUCAACAUAUGUUAUUUAUAAUCAACAAAUGUUAAUUACAUUCAACAUUUGUUAGUUACAUUCAACAGAUGUUGUUACAUACAACAACAAUUAUUUUUUAUUGGUUCGAAUGGUUAGUUGGAUAAACAUUAACCCCUUUGACUAUAAAUAAAGAAUACAACUGUCAAUUAUAGUAAACAUAUGUUAUUCAUAGUCAACAACUGUUAAUUACAUUCAACAUUUGUUAGUUACAUUCAACAGAUGUUGUUACAUGCAACAACAGUUAUCUCUUCUUGGUUUGAAUGCUUAGUUGGAUAUAGAUGACCCACGAAAAAUAAAUAUAAAAUAUACAUGGUUACUAAUAAAUUAAAACAUAAAUUAUAAUAAAUUUCCAUUAAUAACAUCAAAAGUUUUCUACUAUAAAUUAGUCUAUGGUGUCAAUUCAAUAACUCAAAAACUUUUGUUGUAAACAUUUUUGUGAAUCCAAAGAAGAAAAAAAACCAUGAAGGCCUCAAUUUUCUUCAUCGUUGCAUUGCUUAUUCUCUCAUGUUCAUCAUCAAUGAUAAUGGGAAACUCUCACGAAGACCAUUGCCAUGACUAUCAAGAUUGUGAAAUAUGGUGCAAACAAUAUGUUCCUGAACCUAAAUGUAUUAACCACAUUUGCAAUUGUAGACCUCCACCUUUGACCUCUCGAAGGGCUCUCAAUAUAUUUUGAUUCUUCCAUCUGGAUUAUCGAAUAUGAUGAUGACUUUCUACAUGCAAGCAUCAAAAUAAAUAUUUUUCUAUUGUUUUACUUCAGUAUGUGGUAAUAAAAUAAUAUUUUUAUUUUUUAA